AAAUGGAUGAAAUAUGAAGUUUUAUUAAAAGAAAACAGGGUGCAAAGAACAAAGUUUUGUCCAUCUUUGUUCAUCAUAGCUGAAAGUUAGAGAAGAGAAAGGAGAGGAGAAAGCUCUUGAGUAUUCGGUCAUUAGGAGGAGGAAAAUUGAAGGAAAUCCCCAACCAUAGUGGGCUUGGAGCUGUGAGGGAAUUCGGAAUGGCCACCCGUUCUGAAAGUUUGAUUUUCUUCUGGUGAACUGGACAUCCUUUUAAUUACGUUUGAGGUUUUGGGCUUUUAAAUGUAAUAAGGCCGCUUAUUUAUUUUUGAUGGUUUUUAAUAUGUAUUACUAAGAUAGGUAAUACUUAUUUUAACUGUUGAAAUUGGAUAGCUUUAGGGCGCGUUUUCAAAAACAA